UACGGGGGGGGCAAGCGUUGUUCGGAAUUACUGGGCGUAAAGGGCUCGUAGGUGGCCAACUAAGUCAGACGUGAAAUCCCUCGGCUUAACCGGGGAACUGCGUCUGAUACUGGAUGGCUGGAGAUUGGGAGAGGGAUGCGGAAUUCCAGGUGUAGCGGCGAAAUGCGUAGAUAUCUGGAGGAACACCGGUGGCGAAAGCGGCUUCCUGGCCCGACAUUGACGCUCAUGUACGAGAGCGUGGGGAGCAAACAGG
rnacentral:rRNA from 1 species